rnacentral:rRNA from 1 species
GAUGAACGCUAGCUACAGGCUUAACACAUGCAAGUCGAGGGGCAGCAGGAACUUAGCUUGCUAAGUUUGCUGGCGACCGGCGCACGGGUGAGUAACGCGUAUCCAACCUGCCCAUUACUCAGGGAUAGCCUUGCGAAAGUAAGAUUAAUACCUGAUGUUGUCAUAGAAUCGCAUGUUUCUUUGACUAAAGAAUUUUGGUAAUGGAUGGGGAUGCGUAACAUUAGGUAGUUGGUGAGGUAACGGCUCACCAAGCCUACGAUGUUUAGGGGUUCUGAGAGGAAGGUCCCCCACACUGGAACUGAGACACGGUCCAG